GAUGAACGCUAGCGGCAGGCCUAAUACAUGCAAGUCGAGGGGUAACAGGAAGUGCUUGCACUUCGCUGACGACCGGCGCACGGGUGAGUACCGCGUAUACAAUCUGCCUCAUACUAGGGAAUAGCCCGAAGAAAUUUGGAUUAAUACCCUAUAGUAUCUUUUUAAGGCAUCUUAUUAAGAUUAAAGGUUACGGUAUGAGAUGAGUAUGCGUUCUAUUAGCUAGUAGGUGUGGUAACGGCACACCUAGGCUACGAUCUAUAGCUGAUUUG
rnacentral:rRNA from 1 species